AUUUUAUUAAGACAGUUUCCACACCACCUACAUGCUUUUGAGUUACCAUAACUGGUUAAAAUACUUGUGAAAUGAGUCACUAAAAUACAUAUUAAGGAGGAACGGCGCUUUUCUCUAUUAGUUGUUAAUCUUCCUGAUGAGGCUGACUUGCUUUUCAUUAGAAGCCUGACUGAUGCCACCACCUGCUGACUUGGGAUCACUGUUUCAGAUAAGGCACUAUUUCCUUCUGCCACCUGCUCUACCGAAUAGUGCUGGAAUUCAGCUGAUGUUUUUAAAUACCAGUGUCAAGACUGUAGCUGUUUCUGCGACUUAUAUUUUAAGCUCCGGGUUUCCCCAGGAGUGUUCUGUUAAUUUUAGCUAGUUCAAAAUGCAGCAAUGAGUAAAAAAAAAAAAUCAGAGCCUGAUGGCUCAAGUUUUAAGAAUGAUGAUUUCCUAUCUCUUAAUUUACUUUGGUUCCCUAAGAAAUCCAAGUAUUGAAUUCAGUUUACAUCUUCUACUGUUCUUUAACUCCCUUGGUUCUUGUUCUGCACUGGGUUAAUUGGCUACAAGAUGCCAAUACACAGAGGAGGGUACAGUAUAAGAAUAAAAUCUCGUCUUGUAUAAGCUAGGAUAUAGACUGUCCAUGUAUUUUAGAAACAGAAGUAGGGUAGCCUUUCAGAAAUUACCACAGCUACUCUUUUUGCCUGGAUGGUUUCAAGAGAAUGCAAGAGUGAAAUGACUGUGUGCAAUUACUCCACGUGGGCACUGAUUUGACAUGGCCAGACUUAAUGACUGCCUGAUCUCCAGAGAAUAUAAAAGAAAAAACUGGAAAAGCUUUUACUUUGAUGCCAUUUCUUUCGAGCUGCCAAAGUAAAGCAAACUGCUUCAGCCGUAAGGAAAAGUUCUACCCAGUAAUCCCAGGCCUAAAGACCUCAACAAGAAUGAUUCAGGAUCCUGGAGUUUGAUUUCUGUUGCUGUCACAAUGAGUUAUGAAACCAUGCAACAGAAAGCUGAUCUAACUGCUAUACUGUAACAGAUUUUCCACUAGGGAAAUGGAAUGUGGAA
rnacentral:lncRNA from 1 species